GGCCGCCCGCCGGAGCCUUCCCGGCCCGGGCGCCGCUCCGCGACGGAGCCGCUGCCUCAGCCGCACGCUCCUCCUCUUCCUCCUCCUCCUCAGGGCUGCCGUCAGGUCGACCCGCUCCACUCACGACAGGGUCUCCCUAUGUAGUUCAGGCUGGCGAUCCUCCUGUCUCAGCCUCCUGAAUGGUGAGAAUACAGCCAUGUGCCACCAUACCCAGCUAAAAUACAAGAUUUUAAGUCAAAUAUUAGUCAUUGGUCUCUUUUUCAAUUAAGGUUCUCACUAAGUUGCCCAAGCUGGCCCAUCCUCUUGCCUCAGCCUCCCAAGAAGCUUCAAGUAGAGAGGAUUACAGGUAUGUGUCACUGUGCCUAGCUAAAAUGUAAUCUUCUGGUACUUCUUUGAUGUAGUUAACAUUUUAAGGAUCAGAGACUCAGAGUUUGAACAUACUAGGUUCUAACUCAUAAUAAGAAUCUAUUUAAAGCUGUAUUCAUUUGAGAUUAGAAGUCUGAAAUUACCAGCCUUUUGUUUCAGUAUGCUAUUAUGGACAAAAGAUUAAAGAGUUGUUUAUAAAAUGAAAUAGACAUAAACCAAAGCUUUAAAGUCACUAGAAUGACUGAAACACUUACUUUCUUGGGAAAUUUGUGAGGUGGGGGAGUGUGACAGAUCAGAUCAUUACUGAACCAAUGAUCUUAUGUUAUCUAAGUCAGUUUCCAGAAAAACUGUCUUAAAUUAUAAGUGUAUAAGCAAAAUUGUUGAGUGUUUAAUGUCUAUAUAGCACUUUUUUUUUGUUUGUUUCUUUUUUUUUUUGGUACCGGGGAUUGAACUUGGGACCUUGGGCUUGCAAGGCAGGCGCCAGAACCACUGAGCUAAAUCCCUGGCCCUAUAUAGCAUUUUAAUUUAUGAGCUAGUUGAUUUUUGUGUUUGUAUGCAAUGUGUAUAAAUAAUGGAAUAUAAAUUUUCACUAUUCAGAUUUAUUCUAUUAGCUUUAUCAUCUGUAUUUUCCCCUUUAUGUUAAAUUGAACAUAUAUGGUUUUGGUGUUGUCCGUUACUUGGCAAAACAUUAUUAUUAUUUUUUAAAAUAGUAACAAAGUUUUAUUAGAGGAGAGAAAAGAAACAGGCUCUGCAGAGCUUGGGCCAAGUAAAAGCAGGAAAAGAAGUAUACCCUACAAUGUGAGGGUGGGCCAUCUAUGCAAGAGAGAACAAAAACUCAAUGUGAACUGUCCUUUUUGUAACAUCCUCUCUUCAAGCUGGCAUCAGGUCUAAGCCAUACUAUUGAAAACCUUCCCAAGUUCCUGUGAGAGGUCCACAUGCUGGGCUUGGGAACUAUUCUGUGCACGUGUCCUGGAAUUUUGUAAUUAACAGUUCACACCCGCUUUCCAUCCACCCUAAUCUCCAGUCUCAUUUCCUCCUGAAAGACACGUAUCCUGGUAAUUCUUUAUAGUGUGCUAAGGGAGUGGAGGUCUCUGGCUUCUAUACCUUCUUUAGGCUGGAAGAGGUUGUAGGCUGGGGAUUAUGUGCUCUCCAAUUACCUUGGGGUGUUAUAGCUCACUGGCUAAGUUGAAGAAGAAAACUUGUCAGAAGACAAUCAGAAAAGAGUGACUAUUCCCAUCCAAUUCGGUUUGCAAGCAGAAUCGUAGAAAGAAUUAAGUUCGUGAACCGAGGUAUCACUGUACUUUAAGGCAGUAAAGAGAAACACCUCUAAAAAUCCUGAGUUGGUUCCACCACCUGCCUUGCAAGCGCAAGGUCCCAAGUUCAAUCCCCGGUACCAAAAAAAAAAAAAAAAUCUGAAGAGUAAGGAUCAUUCUACCUUUGACUCAGUCUCUUGAGUUAAGCUUUACUUAACUGUUCUUUUGUUUUGCUUAGACCACCAGGCAUAUGUUUCUAAAUUACUUAUAUUUUGUGAGAAGAAACAAAGAAGGAAUCUAGAAAUAAACAUGGUGGUUGCUGACCCGAACAGUGCCCAGCCAUCUGACAAGAGAAGAUGGUGACCCUGACUAACAUAGCACCCUGAAAAAGAAACAGCGCAGACGAGACUUUGAGCACAAAAGGGAGUUAACUGAGGUAGCUGGCUACUUAGGCAGGCUACUAAGUUACCAAUGGCUAUUUUUUUCCCCCUAGAACAAGAAGGCUGAGCAUAAUAUCCUGGAGAACAGAAACAUGAGUUCCAAAAGGCAUUUUAGAGAGAAACAAACAAACAAAAAAUGUGCUACAAGGUCCUUACCUGCUCUCCUGGCUGGCUAAACCAAAUAUGUUACCGGAUUUUGGGGUGUUGGAGUCUCCUUCUGGAGGUGGUUUCUAGGUUCUUUCUGUCCCAAGCAAAGAAUUGUUAAGACAAGUGUAAACGGUAGCAAAAUUUUGUUGGUGGUGGGAAAAGAAACAAACUGCAGAGCAAGUUGGGUCCAAGGAAAAGUAGGAAAAGAAGUACCCCCUAUACUCAGAGGGUGGGCUAUCCAUGUAUGAGAGAAUACAGUGGCCAACAUAACUUUUAUGAUUGGAGAACCCCACCCCAAAUUAACUUUAUAAUGUGAUUUUUUUGGAUUAUUUGAACACCUUGAAUUUAUGGGAACUGGGAAGAUAGGGAACUUAACCAUUCACCAUAUUCGUCAUGUUCACUUUUGUAGUCUACGUACCAGCCACUAAUAUAUUUUAAACUUUUAAAAUAGAAAUUCAAAUACCGAGGUGCAUGAAAAAUGAAAUAAUGUUUUUAAUUCAAAUGGCACAAGCUAGUUCCACUGUUAACUUUUGUAUGCUGGUAGUUUUGACUUAGAGACUUGUUUUAUUCUAGUAGAUUAAUAGUAUAUUAUUACUGCUACUAUAUUUCCCCGAUAAUAAGACAGGAUCUUAUAUUAAUUUUGGUUCCAAAAGAUACAGUAGGGUUUGUUUUCAAAGGAUGUUUUAGUUUUGCAUGUACAGUGAUUACAUUUAUUCAUGUUCAACAAUCUAUACUUAUUCACGUAUUCAUAUAUACAAUCAUGAUGGCCCAUACCUGUAAUCCCAGCACUCAGGAGGCUGAGGCCGAAGGAUUGCUGAGAGUUUGAAGCCAGCCUAGGCUACAGAGUGAGUUCAAGGCCAGCCUAAAUUGCAUAGCAAGACCCUGUCUCAAAAAACCAAAAACCGAAAACAAAAACAAAAAAAAUCCUCUUUUUAAAAGAUGAAAAUAUGACAGAAUAAAUUUGAUAGCUACAUUAUACAAGGUAUAUUUGCAAAGCUAAAAUUUCAUUAUGAGAAAGUUGUAGCCAGGCAUGGUGGCCCACACCUGUAAUCCCAGCACUCGGGAGGCUGAGGCAGGAGGAUCACCAUGAGUUCCAAUGCCAGCCACGGCUACAUAGUGAGUUCAGUACAAAGUGAGACCUUGUCCCAAAAACAAAAAAAAAAAAAAAAAAGAAAUUCUCCUGUAAUGAAGGUUUUAUAUAACAAAAUGAUUUCUAAAUGCUCAUCUGAUUGUUUGUAAAUCUCAGUAUGAUAAUUUAGAAAAAGCUGGCAGAGAUAAUGCCAUGUUAACAGCCUUAAAGAUUGAAAUCAUUAAGAUCCCUGAAAAUAGCUACAACAAAAAUUAGUCAUGAGAAGCAUUUUUAUAAGAUGUAGUUGAUUAAAACUUUGCUGUAACCAUUGCUAAGAGCUUAGUGAAAUUUCUAAAUGUUAAUAAGAUCUUGCAUGUUAAAAAAAAUUUAGAGUCAACAUUACCAUUGGUUUCUAAAAAUUUUAAGGUAUAAUUUUAAAUACAUGAAAGGUAAAACUAAAAAUCAUGAAAUAGGAAUUAACACUUACGUGGCCAGGCUCCAAAAAAGAAUGGAUUAUAUUUUUGAAGGAUUCAGUUAAAUUGAAAUCCCCCCUCCAAAGUCGAUUAAACAUGUGCAUGAAAUCUGUACUUGAUUUAGUAGCUAAAAUAGAGUUUUCUUUAUCUACCUAUUUUAGAGCUAACUCUGAGUUGCAGAAGCAAGAGUUUUUUUGGAGCUGUGAAAUCCUCAUUGCAUAUUUGCAGCAUAUUCUAUUUCUUUGGCAUCUGAUUUACUCUUUCAUAGAAUUCUAUGACUUACCACCAAAUUCUGAAGCAUUUGCCAUAGAUAUUUUAUAUGAUCACUUAGUGGAAAUAAAUGAGUCCUAUAGGCCGUGUAAAUGUGAUUCUUAAAAAUUUUUUGUAGUCUUGGUACUGGUAGGUCCUUAAUGUUAAACAGAAAUUAUCAUGUACUUAACUAUGACAUAAGCAUCACACUGAUUGAAGUUUAGGGACAAGCUACAACUAUUUAAUUGACUUAAAGAGGUUUAAAUAGGGAGACCUCAUAAUUAGGAGAAUUUAGUUAAACAGGAGAUUCAUUAAGAGUUUCCUUCGGAAGCAAUUCAUGUAUUUAUAUAAUAACUUCUGAAGUUGAAAGUAGACUAAUUCAGUUCAAGUCAUUUGAAAGUAGAAAAAAGAAAAUUUGCUUUUAUUAGUUUAAGGAUAAAGAGAAUAUGAAGAUUGAAUUAGGUUUACAUUUCCAAUGUCUUAAUUUUCGACUUGAUUUUUUUUGUAACUAAAUUUUUAAAAAGCUUGCUUGUUUUGUAAAAUUUAUCCUGUUGUGUGUUCAUAGGAAUCCACAUAUCAAAUUCUUUUUUUUUUUCUUAAAUUCUUUUGUGGGUACAUUUUAGCUAUAUAAUAUGUUUACAUUUAUCAUUGGGUGCUUGUACCUAUACAUGAUGUAUCUUGGUUCUUAUAUUUUCCCCAUUAUCUGUGCGCCCUUCCCUAUUUACAUAGACUUCAUUUCCUUUUUUUUUUCUUUUAUCAUAAUUUUUCCUUUCCCUUCUUUGCUUUUCCCUUCCCCUCCUACCACCCCUACCCCUCUGGACCUUUUCUUCCUAUUUCAAAUUAUCAAUUAUUCAUUUUAAUAAUUUUAAACUUUAUUUACCCUUUCAGUUUCUCACACUAGAGAAACUAUUCAGUAUUUAUACGUGUGUCUUAUUUAUUUCACUUGAGUAUGUCCUCAAUAUGCAUCCAUUUAGCUAUAAAUGUUCCUAAUUUCUCGUUCUUUAUGGCUGAGUAGUACUCCAUUUUAUAAAAAAACCACAUCUUCUUUAUCUGGUUUCCACUUGAUGGGCACUUGGGCUGUUUCCAUGCUUUAGCUAUUACAAACUGUGCCACUAUAAACAUAGGUGUACAUAUAUCACUGUGGUAUGAUUCUUUUAAUUCUUUGGGGAAGAUACCCAGCAGGGGAAUAGCUGGGUCAAAUGGAACCUCUAGUCCUAGUUCUUUGAGCUAUCUCCACAAUGAUUUCCAUAGUGGUUGCACCAGUCUGCACUCCCACCAAUAAUGGAGAAGGGUUCCUUUCUCCCCACAACCCCACCAGCCUUUGUUAUUGGUUGAUUUCUUGAUAGCAGCCAUGCUUUCUGGGGUGAGGUGGAAUCUCAGUGCUGUUUUCAUCUGCAUCUCUCAAAUGACCAGUGAUGUUGAACAUUUUUUCAUAUGUUUAUUUUCUGCUUUUACUUCUUUGUCUGAGAAAUGUCUGUUCAUUUCACUUGCCCAUUUUUGAAUUGGGUCUUUGAAUUUGGGGGUUCUGAUUUUUUUCAGUUCUUUAUAUAUUCUAGGUAGUAGUCCUUUAUCUAAGGUACAGCUGCUACAAAAUUUUUCCCACAUUGUAGGUUGUCUCUUAGCUCUGUUGGUGGUUUCUCUUGCAAUGCAGAAGCUUUUUAAUAAGAUGAGAUCCCAGUUUUUGAUUCUUUGUGCUAGUUCCGGUGGUACUGAGGUUUUGUUCAUAAAGUCUUUCCCUAUGCCAAUGUCUUCAAGAAUUCUACCUAACUUACCUUCCUUCAAGUUUAGUGUUUUUGUCUUAAUAUUUAGAUCUUUAAUCUACUUCGAUCUUAGUUUAGUGCAUGGUGAUAGGUAUGGGUCAAGUUUUAGUCUUUGGCAGGUUGAAAUCCAGUUUUUCCAACACCAUUUAUUCAAUAGGCUUUCUUCCAAUGAGGGUGGUUGGCUCCUUUGUCAAAGAUGAGGAGGCUGAGUAUGUCUGGACUUGUUUCUGCAUCUUCUAAUCUAUUCCACUGAUCCUCAGGUCUUUUUCUUUGCCAGUACCAUGCUGUUUUUAUCACAGUAGCUUUGUAGUAUAGUUUCAAGUUGGGGAUUGUGAUACCCCUUGCCAUGACUCUGUUGCCCAGAAUUGCUUUUGCUAUUCUAGGUCUCUUCUGGUUCCAAAUGAAUUUUUGGAUUGUUUUCUCUAGUUCUGUGAAGUAUAUUGUUGGAAUUUCAAUCUGCAUUGCAUUAAAUCUACAUAGUAGUUUUGGAAAUAUGGCCAUUUUCACUAUAUUGGUUCUUCCUACCCAGUAACAAGGGAGGUCUUUCCAUUUUUCUAUAUCCUCCUCGAUCUCCUUUUUCAGAGUGCUGUAGUUUUCAGUGUAGAGGCCUUUUGCUUCCUUGUUAGAUUGAUUCCUAGAUAUUUCAUUUUUUGGGAUGCUUUUGUAAAAGGGAUUGUUGUCCUAAUUCUCUCUCAGCACAUAUCAAAUUCUUGGUUCAAAUAAAGCAAUUCUUUUGUGUGUUUUUAAAAUAGUGUUUAUUGUAAUACUAUUUUUAAAAAGACUUACUUAUCUUUGUUUUUCCCUAGACUUUAGCAUGUCUCCUUCCAUACAGAAGACCAUGAGUUGUUAUAUUUUGAAUGAAUUAAUCUAAGGUGAAAUAUAUCCAACUAAUUUUCUGUUCUUUGUCAGUUGAAUUGAUUUAAAAGAAACAAAGCAAAACUAGAAAAAUGGCUGAGGCAGAAAGAUCACAAAUUCAAGCCCAGCCUAGAUAAGUUAGUAUUUUAAUGAGACUGUUUCUCAAAAUUUAAAAAGGGCAUGUGUGAAGGCCUUGGGUUCAAUCUACAGGACCACCAGCUCACACACACAAGCUAGAAAAAGAAUAAACUAACACACAUUUAAAAUUGUCUUUCUUACAGAAAUAAUCAC
rnacentral:lncRNA from 1 species